CUGCAGACCAACAGUGGGGUAGUCGACGCUGAUGAGCCACCGGUGGGAGAAGAUUCACCUACACCAGAGCCAGCUCCACCAGUGACAACAUCACCCAGCAGAGAGGGCCCCACCACAGAGACUGUGCGGACCAGGUGUGGGAGAGAGGUUAGAAAGCCGAAGAGACUUGAUUGGUGAUUUAUUGAUUUGUUUUCUACAGUAAAGAAAAAGAGAGUGAAAUGUGAUUGUGAAAUUGUUCUGCUAAACCUGUUACAUUUACCUGAAACCUGAGAUAAUAGUUCACAGUAUGGUAACGCGUAAGUUAUUUUAUUUCUAUUUUGCAUGCUUGAAACAGGGACAGAUCAGGGACAGGUCUUCCAGCAAAAGGGCAGAAUAAACCCCUUAAGACCUGCAGAGACAAAGGUAGUCCACCCUUUGUUCUCAAAGAAAGGGAGAUGUGGUAUUAUG